rnacentral:rRNA from 1 species
AGUGAACGCUGGCGGUAGGCCUAACACAUGCAAGUCGAACGGCAGCACAGUAAGAGCUUGUUCUUACGGGUGGCGAGUGGCGGACGGGUGCGGAAUACAUCGGAAUCUACUUUUUCGUGGGGGAUAACGUAGGGAAACUUACGCUAAUACCGCAUACGAACUACGGGUGAAAGCAGGGGAUCUUCGGAUCUUGCGCGAUUGAAUGAGCCGAUGUCGGAUUAGCUAGUUGGCGGGGUAAAGGCCCACCAAGGCGACGAUCCGUAGCUGGUCUGAGAGGAUGAUCAGUCACACUGGAACUGAGACACGGUCCAGACUCCUACGGGAGGCAGCAGUGGGGAAUAUUGGACAAUGGGCGCAAGCCUGAUCCAGCCAUGCCGCGUGUGUGAAGAAGGCCUUCGGGUUGUAAAGCCCUUUUGUUGGGAAAGAAAAGCAGCAGGUUAAUACCCCGCUGUUCUGACGUUACCCAAAGAAUAAGCACCGGCUAACUUCGUG